GUUGCUGGUGGUCCUGAAGACUGCUGCUUCAUUUACACCCGAGAUCUUUGAACAAAUGUUUAAUCCGCUCGUAUUACAUUGACCGACGACAGAUGCUCAAUGACUGCAGCCGUUCGACCACGAUGAAAAAUGCUACCAUCUGUGUGGAUCCAAAGCUUCCCUGGGUUGUGAGGGUCAUGAAAAGUUUGGACCAAGAGAAUUUUUAUGGACCAACAGAUCCAUCUCUAGGCUCAGCAGCCCUGUCCCCCCAUAAUGCUGAACCUGAACCAGCUUUUCUCCCAACUGAAGGAGGUG